GGGGGCGACCUGGUUUCGACAGGGGUCACGAAGCAGUCAGGGCAUGCCGAGGACCCGUCACCUCGCUAAUCAAUGGGACAGCAUUAACUGCAAACACCAACCUUGCAGCGCGCUUCGGCGCAACCGCUGAAAAUCAAGCCUUUUUUAAAAAAACGGCCUGAUCAAAGUGGUUUUCCUCGCACUGGCUCGCUGACGGGCCAGGGUCGCAAGACCAGCGGGGUCAUAUACGUCAGCUAAGCCCGGACGGCGUCACGACGUCCGUGUCGAAAAUCCUGUGAAUCGCCGUCGCGCAGCGUGUUCGUCCGCGUCGCCCCGGUUAAAUCAAAUGACAGAACUACGCAUGUAGAACUGGUUGUGGACUAUUCCUGGACGCGGGUUCGAUUCCCGCCGCCUCCACCA
rnacentral:tmRNA from 1 species